CUGAGCUCAAGCGAUCCUGCUGCCUUGGCCUCCCAAAGCGCUGGAAUUACAUGACUGUCGCAUGGCCGUCGGUGCCUGUGUCUCCCCGUCUCCAAGCCUCCUCUCUCCCUCCCAGUGCCCCGUCAUCUUCAUCCCACUAGAAGCCCAAGCCUCUUCUAGUGACCCUACAUUCUCAGAGCCCCGAAGCAGAGAACAGAAGCUGCUUCUACAGCCGCUCCAGACCCAGAGGCCAGACCUCACUUGUGAGCUGUUUACAAACACAGGGUCCUAGAGCCCAUCUCAGACAGACCUGCUAAAUUGGAACCUGCAUUCUGAUGAGACUUUAAGUAUGUGAAGCACUGGUCUAUAUCAUUCUCCUGGGGCAUAGUUUGAGCUUUGUCUCCUCAAACUUGCAUGUGACCUGGGACAGGUCAGAACACAUCUCUCGGGCCUCAUUUUCUCAUUUGUGGGGAGGAGGAAGUAAAGCCACUCCAGGGGACAGUGUGAUAAACAGAGCAGGCUGUGGAGUCUGGCCGCCUGUUGCACCACUAGGUCAAGUGACCCAAACUCUCUAUGCCUCAUUCUACUCAUCUGCAAGAUACCAACAGGAAGGAAACAGCCUCAAAGGGAACCAAUGCUUUGCCCAAGGACACUUGGCACUAAAGCGGAAAAACUGGCCCCAAACCCAGAUUUUCUCAAGUCCAGCACUUUCUGCACCGUGUGUUGGGCCUCAAUUUCAAAGAUGACAAAGCUUCAGGACCUGUUUCAGUUUUGUCUUACGAAUGGAUUUGGCAAAGAAGGCAGUACAGUUAAUCCUGGCUGCAACUGCUGGAAAAUUUGCUACACCCUCCUCAGUGCUAGCUGUGUAUUGAAUUUGGAACCUCAAACAAAGCUUGAUAGAAGGAAGACAAAAAAGCUUCCGUUUACAUUCCAUUUUGGUUCCCCAUUUGACUUCAAAGAAAGGAAAGAGAAGGAGGAAAUUCACAUUUUUGUCAUUGUUACAGUCACUUUAAUUAUGCAACGUUUUGUUAUGAAACACAGUUUUCUUUUUAUGAAAUAGUGCAGCCCUUUGGAAGCAGUGAAAAUGCUAAGUUCAGAAAAAUUUUACAUGGCACACCAUUGAUCUGCAUGAUGAUAGAAGGAUAAUUAAGAUGCUGUAUCUUAAUUAUCUGGUAGCAGAAAUAUGAGUCUCCUAGUCUCAAGACUUCAAACAGUAAGCAGUGGACUGUACAAGAUCACGAGGCAGUCAUCCCCUCUCUGCUCUGUUCCCUCUCCUCUACAAUCCUUGGAGAAAGCUGUAUAGGUUGGGUUGUCCUCAAAACCUUAGACAUAUGUGAAAUACACAGGAUUUUGG
rnacentral:lncRNA from 1 species